UGACACACCACCAUUCUGGCCG
rnacentral:miRNA from 1 species